UCAGUUCGAACCAGUCAUCCUUGCGAGAAAUGGCUGCAAGAAGCUAAAGCCAAAUGCGGUUCCCUCCCUAUUUCUGCAUCGGCCAGUCCCGAAAGAACGAAAGCCGCCCCGCAGAAGGGAAAAUGAAGUUGUCCAUGCUUCCGCCUCGAACAAGCCGGGACCAUCCACAGAGACAACCUCAAACCUUGAACCGCCGUGUGCCCCAUUUCCUGCCGUCUCGGAUCAGCCAGGGCCAUCAUCUGAUACGACCGCAGACCCUGAACCAGCGUCCGGCCCAUUUCGUAUAAGU